AGUGAACGCUGGCGGCGUGCCUAAUACAUGCAAGUCGAACGGAGUGGCGCACGGGUGAGUAAUAUAUAGCUAAUCUGCCCCUUGCGGGAGGAUAACAGUUAGAAAUGACUGCUAAUACUCCAUAGCAAGGGAUGAGCCUAUAUCGUAUCAGCUAGUCGGUGGGGUAACGGCCUACCGAGGCUAUGACGCGUAACUGGUCUGAGAGGAUGAUCAGUCACAUUGGAACUGAGACACUGUCCGAACGCCUACGGGAGGCAGCAGUAAGGGAUGUUGCGCAAUGGGGGAAACCCUGACGCAGCAACGCCGCGUGGAGGAUGGCACUUUUCGGAGUGUAAACUCCUUUUGUUAGUGAAGCGGUACCUAACGAAUAAGCACCGUCUAACUCCGGGCCAGCAGCCGCGGUAAUUC
rnacentral:rRNA from 1 species